UUGGUGGUGUCGAGGUUGACAUGACUGAGAGCGGCGGGCUCACCAUCCCCAUGGCCGUCCCGCUGGAGGCCGUGUGCAGGCCUCGUGCAGCUAUGCGUGAUGUUCUUGAGGAGCUCUGAUGUCUCCAUGCUAGGCUGCAUCGACCUCGAUCUCCGGCAAGCUGCAAGUUCCAUCACCAAGUGUUCUAGGCUUUAACCACCGGGCGCAUCGCUGUGGUUUCUUCUAGUUUCAUCUACCAGUUAUCAAGUAUCUUGGAUCUUUGACUUACGGCGCAUCGCUUCUGUCUCGAUCUACGGUAUUCACCAGUUAUCCCGCCUUGAUUAAGCUUGCAUCGGCUGAUAUUUGUCUGUUCUAUCGUCUUGCCGUUUACGACAUAUUAAUUGUUAUUAAUUCUGUCGGAAUAGACGAUAGAUCUAUUCUUAAUAGCCUGUUGCAUCUUAAUCUUGGUUACCCUUUCGAGUGUUGUUGGGAUUAAGUUUCGUUAUGAUUGGAUUCAUCGGCUGGCGAGGUUCAGAUUAACAUCCUGCUAAAUAUUUCUAAACUGCAACUACCGGGCGCAUCGCUGUGGUUUCACCUAGAGAUAUUGGUGGAGAGUUUAGUUUAGAUCUUAUCGGCUUGUAGCUCUAGCUAUGGUGGAGCAGCAGCUCAACAGCAUCCUGUUUUCUAUCAGCCGUCUGGCUGAUGGUUAUUGUAAAUUAUAUUAAAUCGGCCCGAUCGGCCGACUCCAUCGAACUUCGAGAGAAUUAUCUCCACCUUGUCAGUUGAAUGGUCAAACUGACUGGCACGCCCGCGCACACCAUGCGCGCCGAUUUGAAUUCUGCACUGGAGUUAAGCAGAUCUCCCAGGUCCUCAUGUGGUGAUGCAGGAUCCACUAUCAUCAGGAUUUUGCGUCAACACAUUUUGGCACGCCCGGCGGGACACGAGGAAGCAUUGGCUGAUUAAAAAUGCAUCGGGCAAUUGGAAUAAAAAAAGGAGUUGUAUCGGCUGAUUACAGAAAAUAUCGACCAAUUACAAAAAUCGGCUGGCUUCUUUAUUUACAUUGCCUGUUUUGAGCCGAUGGACAUAAAAGAGCAGCCGAUGGACAAAGGAACAAAUGAAAAAAAAAAGAAAGAGAAGCAGUCGGCCGAUGAAUUUUAAAAAAGGGAGCAGUCGGCCGAUGGAAUAUCGAAGGAAUAAAUAAAAGAAGAAAAAAGGAGCAGCCAGCCGAUGGUACAAAGAACUAAUGAUUAAUUUCAAUCGGCCGGGUACUUCCGUCAUCGGCUAUAUAAAAAAAGAAUUAUGCAAGCCAAUCGGCUGGGAACUUCCGUCAUCGGUUGAGAUGCUAUAGAGAGCACUAGCUCGCACUACAGGCUUUACACAAAUUGAUUAUUAUUUGGAGCUGAGCUGAUAGGGGGUACAUCAGCAUCGACCGGUUGGUGGUGCAUCGGCCGAUAGACAGUUACAAAAUAAUACUUGGUGUCCAAUGAUGGGACUAGUUUAUUCAGUCAAUAGGGUGGUCGAUGGCUUGCGACCAAAUCGGCUGUGUCAUGUUAUUUAAUUAAAGGAUAUGGAGGUAUCAGUAAAUGCUAAUCGCUUCCAGCUUAUAAAGAGCUGAUGGAGUUGACUUCCUCUCAACAAAGCAAAAUAAGAUGUCGAGCUUACAUGAAGCCGAUGGAAUAGUUAAAGAUCCUAGCAUGAUGAAUAAUUAGGCAGUGAAGAUGAAGUUUUUGCAAGGUACAUACCUCUUCAAGGCUCAAAAUAAUCCUUCGUUGCCUGGACUAUUGACGUGUAGACUAGUGGCCAAAGUAUUAUCAGGACAGCCCAUGGAGUGAAUCGGCUUCAAAAAAAAAAAAGGCUGACUUGAAUAGCCGAUGGAAUGGCCGAUGCAGAAGUCUCGCCUGACAGCCGACGGAAAUAGUAAUUUACAUGCUGAUUACGUGAUGGCUCUAGAAAAAAGUAUCGGCUGAUAUAAAAGUAUCGGCCGCUAACUACAAAGAGUAUCGGCGGAAAAAAGCAUCGGCCGAUUAGAAAAUUGGAUCGGCCGAUUGAAAGCUGUAUCAGCUGAUUAAAAAAAAAUACAUCGGCUGAUUGGAAAUUGCAUCAGCCGAUUGAAAAUUGGAUAGGUUGAUUGAAAGUUGUACGGCUAAUUAAAAAAAAUUGCAUCGGCCACCGGCCGAAUGACUGCUUGGCAAAAAGCAUCGGCUGAUUGCUUCGACCGAUUGAUUGCUUGGCCAAUAAAAAAAAUUUGACAGAUUGGAUCAAGCAAAAUAGUAUCGACUGCUUAUAAAAUAUAUCGGAUGUUAAUUUCGAAGCAUGAAAUAUUCAUACUUCGAAACUGGGGGGCCUAUGUUGACAACAAAAGCUUGCUGGUUACUGCACCAAGUUUUGGUGUCAACAAACUGAUCUAUUGUUUCUACUGCCGGCGAAUUUAUCGGCUCAGAGUGGGAUCAAGGCAUCAAGCCGAUGGGGUUCUUUAUAUUUCAAGAGGAGUCGAUGUGGCUUUGGAUAUUGUAAUCAGACGUCAUUAGCUCUAAAGGAAAGCUUCGGACUUCUAUAAUUAGUUUCGGAACAUGAAGCCUUCGUACUCCGAAACUGCCUGUGUUGACACCGAAUUAUCGGACUUCUAUAGUUAGUUUCGAAACAUGAAGCCUUCAUACUCCGAAACUAGGGGGCCUGUGUUAACACCAAAAUUUGGAAAUAUGCUGUGAAAGGAAGGAAUUGGCCGAUGAUGCAAAAAAUAACGAAAUCUCCUAACUAAGGCUAUUUGCGAGCUGGCCGUAGAGAUCAGGAACAUGUGCAUGAAGAAAGAGAAAGCAAGAAAGCUAGAAGAUUAAAAGAAGUCAACGCACACAUGUACACGGCAAGAGUUCCAACAGUCUGGCAUCCAAGGGAAGCGCACGUACGGGAGGUUGUUUUAUAGAAUAAAAUAUUUUGGAGAUAGAGUUGGUUAGGGAUAAGCUUGAUUAGAGAUAGAGUUGGGUUAGUUAGAGAUAGAGUUUUGAUUAGAAAAUAUUAUGUACGUGACUUGCCUUGUAUGUGAUUAAAAUGCUAAUUAUGUAACAUCAAAGGCCAUCUGCCCUAUAAAUAUAAAGGGUCCUGGCCAUUGUAAUUAUCAUCACACGAUCAAUAAACAAACAUAUUGGGCGUGUUCGCUUAAGCUAUUUGGGCGGCUGCAUCUGUUGCUGCACAGCCCAGCCGUUCGGCUGCGGCCCAAGCAGCAGCGGCCCAAGCACGCAGCCGAACAGCUGCACUUAUCAGUUGCGUUGUCGUCUCUCCCGUCUCCCCCAUCUCCCGCACUCCUCCCGACCCCGCCGCCCUGCACUCCUCCCGACCCCGCCGCCCACUCCGCCUUCAGCCGGCCCCGCCCCCGCCGGACUCCGCCCCGCGUCGGCACCCCACCCACCUCCGUCCCUCCACCGCCGCCGGCCAGCCCCGCCCGCACCGCACCUCCACCUCCGUCGGCCAGCCCUGCCCACACCGCACUCCGACCCGCCGUCGCCGCCCCACCCAGCUCCAUCCCCUCCUCUCCAGCCCCGCCGUCGGCGGCCCACCCAGCUCCGCCCCUCCCCCGGGGCCAGCCAGCCCUGGCCCCGCCGGACCCCGCCCCGCCCAGGCCCGCCUCUCCCCUGCCACCGGCCAUCCCCGCCCCUGCCGGCCUCCGGCCCGCCGCUCCGCACCGCCUUCACCGCCCCAACCAGCUCCGCCAAUGCUCUCCAUUGUCGAUCUACAUUUGUAUGCUGCUAGAUUUCGUGCAUCUCAACACUAGCCAGUAGAUAGUAGAGAGGAGGCCUACAUCCAGGUUGGUCAAUGUCCCGUUGCUCAAUCCAUCAAUUUUUCAGAUUUCCUUUUGAUGAGAAAUUGCCACCUCCAUGUCUUUGGACAAAAUGCAUCAAGCUCACUGCCUUCAUUGCCAUGACAAGGUCUUUGAUGUCUUCCCUCAUGCAGGCAGUGAGAAAAUAGUGGUACGGUUACUCAGGAGAUUCCAAGUUAAGGUCCUUGAUUUUACCCUUCUGUGUGGAAUCUUGACCAUUAUGGACUUGGUACAAUCUCUUCCAUUCCUCAGCAGCAGUGAGGUGAGGCUGCUAGCAUCUGGGAAUACCCUCUGAACCUGUUGAAUUAGAUCAGGGGUGAUCUCAUCUCGUCUUGCUUAUAUCGUGCGAAAUUGAGACAAUUUUGCUAGAUUAGGCAGUAACAUCUUGUGUGCCUUCACUUUUGUUAUCUACACUAGUGUCAACCAUUAUUGUGCUCUAGAGUAUAAUUUUGUAGUAUAAUGACGCCAGGCAAACAAUCCAUUAUUCUGCUCUGUAGUAUAAUUUUGUAGUAUAAAGUGCGUAUCUCUGGCUAGCUUUAGACUUUAGUUGAUGGAAAAUGAAAAUUUCCAGCUCCUACAUUCAUAUGUGACUGAUUCUAGUAGUUAUCAAUCAGCGUAUCUCUGUUUAUUUUUAGAUGACUAAAAUGUUCACCUAGCCUUCAACUACAAGGCGUCUUUUAUAUAUACUAGGAUUGUGUCCGUGCGUUGGCACGGGCAAUAAAAUAUUUAUAUUUCAAUAAUCACAGCAUCCAAGUAGAUAUCUUGUACUAAUCAGGUUCUAGGUAUAGCGGAAACGAAAAGAAAUAAUAGUAUAGUACCUCCUCAGUCAUGAUAUCUCCAACCUUAACAAGGUACCUUAGAACUUUACAGUAGUAGAACCUUGCUUUCCAGAAUAUUGUUCAAGUUUAUUUUGACUACAAAGCGACACUACUAUAUCUUCUACCGAUAUUUUCCAUUUAAAAGGAAAAGGAAACAUCUAAGCAUAAUACAUUUGAAAUAGUAAGUUACAAGUGCAAGCACUAAGCAGUAGUUUCUACCUUCCAAAAUUUUACUCUCCGAGCUUCCAGAUAACUAAUUCUUAACCCUAUCUACUAGGAAUUAGUUAUAUUUUUUUAACCAAAAAUUGAUGCACAACUUGGUUAGAUAUAGCCCGAUCUAUUGGAAGCAGGGGCGGACCUACGUAUAUUCAAAGGUAUUCAACUGAAUACCUAUUAUUUUUGCAAAAAAAAAUUAUAUAUAGUGUAUCCCAUGUGUAUGUAUCAAAAAGCCAAAAAUAAACAGGCUAACGUGAACCAAGCUCCAACAUGUUGUGAACAAUGAUCAUCACAGUAACAAGAAAUACAUCACUGUCCAAUUGAUCUGCACUUUUAUCCUCCUGCAGUAGAUGUAACAUGUUACCCGGUUUCCACCUUGCUUCAUCAUUGUAAACAGCAAGAUAUUCUCUGUUGAAAAGAACACUAUGUAAAUGAAUAGUAUAAGGAAAUGUUGGAACAGAAACUUCUACCCCAAUGAUGCACGAAUCAAUAGUCAGCUUGCUGUCAAUGGUAUGACUGUCUGAAACUUUCAGAGCACUUAUAUUGGCGGUUAGGGUGAUGGCAUAAACAUCCUCGACUAGACAUUCAAGCUCUUCAAGCAAAGUCUUAACUAGCAGAAAAUAAAAAGAACAGCAGGUCAGUUAGAGCCAAGAGUUUCACAAACAUGAUAAGAAGGAAAUAUAUAAACCCAAAGCUCCAGUUAAUCGAUGAUGGCAACUAAUCAUUGCUGUAUGCUAGCUUCCUGCAAAAAUUAACUCACUGUAAAUUAUCGCCUCCCUUUUGACAGUAAAUAUUAAUCUUCUUUUUUUUCCUCAUUACUAUUUACUUCCUGCAUUAAAAUAUGAUAAUGUUUAGGAUGCCUUUCAAAUUUUUCUCAUCUUUUGCAGUAAAUAGGACUCUAGCUAAGGAGAGCAUUGCUUGUGUGCCACAAAAAGGUAACUUCCACAGGCGGCAGCACUGGCACACUCCUCUACAUCAUCAUGGUCUCCACCUGAAGCCCAUCGCUACGAGCUGCGUACAACUCCUGCACGACGCAAGCACAACGAGGCAAGCAUCAGUUCCAUCUUAUUUGUUCCCUUUGUGAUAAAUGUUGAUUCGUAUCUUGCAUGUUGUCAUUGCUACUGCGUGUGUGCCAUACAAACCUUGUACUUAGGAAGGCAUAUAAUUCAAACUAGCACACAGAUGGAUGCAGGUCUUGCCAACUGGGAUGAUAACACUACAAAAAUAUUCCUAGACCUCUGCAUUGAUGAGAAGAAUAAGCUCAAUUACAACAAAUGGGGCCUAACCAAGGUAGGUUGGCACAACCUGUAUACAAAUUUCAAACAAUAGACGGGUAGGAAAUAUUCUUGCAAACAGCUUCAGAACAAAUUUAAUACCUUUAAGAGGCAAUACAAGGAUUGGAGGAAACUGAAGGACAAGAGUGGUAUCGAGUGGAACAACAGUACCCGCACCAUUGAUUGCGAUGAUGAAUGGCGGGCAGCCCGAAUUGAGGUGCUGCUGGCGCUAGAAAUCGGUCGACCGAAUCCCAGCGACCGACACACGACCCGGGAGAAUCUGCUUAGCUCCUGUUCGGGUGAAUGCCCUGGUGCAGUUCGCGCGGCGUGCCAGCCAAUCUGACCUGUUGAUUGGCAAGGAAGAAUACGUAUCAGGUCCAGAAAUCGCGAUCGGCUAAGUUUCCGAUCUCGAGAGAGUUUAUCAGCGAAUCGGCCGAUUUACUGUAGUAAUGAAAUCGGCUAUAAGACAGCCUGAUCUUUGUAGCCUUGUAGACAGGGAAUUACUAAAGUAAUCGAUACAAAGCUAUGAUAACAACACUAGGAACAGAUCUAAUCGGCAAUAGAUGAAUUUAAUAGCAGAAUAUAGAAAGAGCCGAAACUACUGAUUCCUAGCUGGAUAACUGGUGAUAAAGACUAGAAAAACAGGUAAAACCUAUGGAUCUAGCAAAUAUCGAUAACUAAUGAAUAAAUCUAAAGGAAACAACAGCGAUACGCCCGAAGUUAAAGCUUAGAUAUUACUCGAUAAUCGGAACUUACAGAAUCGGCCGGAGAUCAAGAUGAUGCAGCCCUGCCAACCCGCACGAACUCGUGAGAAGAGAAAAGUAAUGGCGAAGUCGCCUGCUUGAAGGUAAGUACGAAGAAAAAGUAGCUUGUUGUAUUGAUUGGUUGAUGACUACAGAUUUACAAAAGCAGCUAUUUAUAGCCCCGUACAGAUAUCUUCUUAACCGACUAGAAUUCUAUCCCUAAUUCAAACAGAAAACGAAUAUCUACAAACACGAUUCGUGCUAGGUUGGUUACUCCACGCUUCGUGGGCUGAUUUCCACCUCAUCCUUCUAUCCCUUUCUAAGCCCAUACAGGCCCAAUUAGCCCAUCCUCCUAAUCGGCCGAUUCCUCAUCGGCAAAAGAUUACCGAUUGGGACUCUAGUAUAUUCGACCCGAAGCGAGACAGAAGUCACCGGCCGAUCUCACACUGUAGCACCAUUUGGCCGAUUCCCAACUGUGCUUCUCCGAUUCCCCCUCUUCUUGGCGCCGAUUCUACUAGUGACGAAAUCUGGCGUCAACACAUGCCCCCCAGUUUCGGAGUAAAACAUAGUCUUUUACUUCGAAAUUCUUUAUAACUUCCCCUCCGAAAUGACCGCAGUGAAAAUAUCCUUCCGUUUCGCGGUCUUCCAGCCGAUCAUUGCAAUUUUUUUGAAACGGGCGCCCACGACAGCCACUACUCCCGAAAAACUCGAAGCGCCGGUGCGGUGAAAAUUCCAUUUUUACCCCCCUUCAGGCAUCCUUUAAGUAGCGCUUCACCCGCACCUCACCUUAAAGCUCACGUCUCUUUUCCCAGCGCGCGCGCCUUCUUCCUCCUUCAACAUCUUUCCCUUGCCGCCGAAGCUUCCUAGCUUCACUUCCUGCUACUUUUUCCUCUUCUCCUCCAAUGGCGGCUCCUUCCGGCAGCUCUCCCGCGCGCGAUGUCCCAGAAGUAGCACCUCCGGCGGUGGUGGCGACAGCCGUUGCUCCUUCCUCAGAAGAAGGAGCUUCAUCGGAGAUCCCAAUGGCGAUCCCCAUCGCGGCCCCAUCGUCCGCAUCCUCCCCGACGGCCACGCCGAUCACUCAGAACUUUAUUCCAGAGGUAAAUACCGAAUCCCUCUUCUAUCGGCAAUAUAUUUACCUUAGAUCUGUUUCUUACUUUUCUACGCUCCCCUUUUCCUUUUUUAGGCAGUUAGGCAUCGAGUCACCAUUCACCUUACGGGAAAUCCCGGCCUUGUUUGUCUUGGACCCAUGGGAAACCCUGAUCCAAUAGAUCUCAUAAAUUUGGAAACCGACCGGAUACCCUUCAAACUGUCUGAUAUGAACUUAGAUCAAUGGCUGGGUACUUUUAGGUCCUGGCCGAAUGAAACCCCAGGUUGGAGGGAGUGGUAUCAACGGGUGGCCGCAUCAAAGAGCGUCUCAUGGGAAGAGCUCAAAAUCGGCCAGUGCAUCAACCUUUCCUUAUCCCAGAUGGAGAAAAAUGAGCCGUUAGUGAUGGCGGCUUCUUAUUUUUUGUCUGAUGCACUUAAUGCAUUCUUAUUUGGGCACGAUCCUAUGACCCCAACACUGGCCGAUGUGGUCCUGUUGACCGGCCUUGACAUAUCCUCCCCGGAUACACCCUUCCACCUUUUAGCCACAACGUCACAUCGGCUGGAUACAAGGGGAAUCGACGGGUGGAAGGGUUUCAUCAGAAGUAAUAAGAGGACCGGGACUGUUGAGAAUAGGGAGCACACAGCUUUCCUGAUGAUGUGGCUAGAAAAGCACUUCUUUUGCGGAAGAGCCGCCGGCCCGACAACCAAUACCCAGGCCUUAGCUGAAGCACUGUCCAGGGGAAACCAUGUCCCUCUUGGGAAACAUCUGCUAGGGGCCGCGUACCACAUGCUACAUCAAAUCGGCAUAAGACUAUCCAAGGGAGAGCCGAUCGGCAAUCAAGGCGGGCCCUGGUGGUUCAUCAACUUGUGGCUGAACCUUUAUAUGAGCAGAAUUACUCAGCAGCCGGUGGAUCGCAUGACGUUCCCCAACAUCGAAUCGGCAGAAGACCCUACCGAACGUCGCCGAUGUAUGUCCUUUGGUGAAGCGGCAUUGGCUUUUCCAGGUUGCAUGUAUUCUGCUACAAAGGUAGCCGAGUAUUUUCGAUGCUUCUAUAAUGGCUUCAGUGAAGAUGCAACCAUUUGGUUUCCGUAUCAGCGAGACGACCCGGUCUUUGAACUCCCCACUUGCUUCGAUUCGGCUUCUGGCCGAUUUGAUGAAGAGCUCUAUGAUGAGUUGAUCAAGCCAGGGCUCCUGCUAGCCAAUUUCUUCUCGGGGAAGGAUGCCCCUACGUACGAAUUCUACAACCCCUCCGUUGCAGCACGUCAAUUCGGCAUGGGUCAGCUGCCGAUUCAAGUGUACUUUGCUGGCCGAAUCAAGUUUAGGGAUGAGCUCACAUCUGGUCUGGAUUACAAUCGGUUACGAGACCGAAUCCCGGACUCCAGCACAAUUGACCUGAACGACUGGCUAAUAGCUCCCUUUGCUGUUCAGCCGUUCAAACUCUGGUGGGCCGAUUGGAAAUAAUUCUUUUCUGCAACUUGGCAUCGGCAUACUGCAACCUUCUAGACCCAGCCAACAUUGACCCGAACGCCGAGGUAUUUCACUUAGCCAAUUUUUUAUUCCUCUCAACAUGACUAAGCACUAAUGAUUUUAUUAUCUUUUCAGGCCGAGAAUCGAACUCCUCCAACACACAGCCGCAGCGGACGGCUAAUAGAAAGUCACCCAUACACAACUUAUCCUCUUAUCGGCUAUGACGCUCCGUCUGUUGACGUGAUUGCUGGCCGAUCAAAACAAGUCCAUAAGAGGACUAUCAAGAAAACCAGUCGCCGAGUCCGAGCUCGUGUAGAAUCGGCAGAUCCCCCUGUGCUCGUAUCGGCAGAGACCCUGGCCGCACCACCUUCUCAGUUCAUCCAAGAUGCCGAUACCCAAGCUGUUGCGCAAGCUGGAGCAGCCGCCGCGUCGUUGUUGUUGGAGGCCAUACAGGUAAAUCUGAAUUUUACUGCUUCCGAUUGUUAUUCUGAUAUUAACCCUUCUUAUCCUUAGACUGCACAGAGCACCCCUAUGGAAAUACAACAAUCGGCAACAACUCAACCAGCCAUCGGCGCGCCCCCACUUCCAUCCGUUGAAGUAUAGUACUAUUUUACCGAUUUCCUUUGGUAUUUGCAUAAUGUACUUAUUCAAUCCUCUGACACAGGCCAUCGGCACACCAAGCGCUCCUCGACCACCGAUCUCUUCUCAGGGAGCUGGUCCAAGCACCGCGCUGAUUAUUGUGGAAUCUUCUUCAUCCGAUGAACCUAUGGCGCGGGCUCCUGAGCAAGGCGUGACGGCUUCACAAAUGCAGCAUGAGGAAAUUCGCUUCAAAAUGGUAAGUUUUGUUUCGGCUUUUAUCCAGCCGAUUUGCUUUUACUUCCGGCCGAUUUAUUUCUUUUCUUUAUUAUUUCCAGGAACAGGACACCCCCGACAACAGCCUCUUUUCUUUUGCGGUCGCCCUUUCCGACGACGAAGAGGUUGCCUCUCGCCAAGUUGCCUUGAGCUCCGUCCCUGAUGACGUCCGAGCCAAACUUUCCAGCAUCCGAUCCCUCCUUCAAGGGGACAUCGGCCGACUAGUAGAAGAUGCUUCACCGAUUCGGCAGCUCUUCAAUGACGUCAGCGGACGAGUACCAGAAGAGGCGGAGGAAGCCCUGGCACCGGCGGCCUUCAUCGAGUCCAUGAGGAUCCCAGUCUUCAGGGCUCUUCGUCAUAUGGCCGAUCGGGCCAAGCUUGCCAAGACUCGUGAAGAGGAGGACGCGUUCAAGCGUCAGGCUCAAGAGGCACAUCGGCGCAUCCAUGUUCUGGAAGAUUCUCGCCCGGCGAUCAUCGGUGAGAUAGACCGCCUCAAGCGUCGGAGGGCGGAACUUGCCAAGGAGAUGGAGCAAGUGACUAAAGCUAUCAGUGCCGAAGAGAAAAAACUCCAAGAGCUACCUUCUGUCAUUGCCGAUUUGACACGGGAGAGGCAGCGCUUUGCUCACGAGGCUCUAAAGCUCCAUCGCAGUACAUCAGAAGUCCCCGGAUCGGCAGAUGAAGACCAACGGGUUCUUGACUCUGUUGAUCAGAUCCGGCGCCGGGCUAUCACAGCUAUCGAUACCCUUCUGGGUAAUCUGUAAAACACUGACCGUUUGUACGAACUUUUACUAUCUUCUUUGACCGUCCCUCGUGACGCCCUUUCUAUUUAUUACCUUUCUUAUUUCCGAUGGGACGUAGCCUUACCAAAUUUCCACGCAUCUUUUUCCACGAAUACCGACCUCGGCACUUACUCCCGAUAGCACCAAUUUGGCUUUCGGUUUUACUCUCUCCUUCCUCUUACCGGUGCGACUUUCUGCCAUGGCUUCGUCGGCUUCUUCUUCCUCUGUUAACCAGGUGCAAUCUUGCCCUCUACCGUCCCUUCUUUUUAGAUCCUAGGAAAAGAAUGUCCCUUCUUAUUCCUUCUUUGUUUUAGCCCCAACGUCUUAGCCCUAUGCUCGUGCGCGCCAUUGAGCUCAUCCACUCCGAGGACCCAUUGACGUCGGAGGAUAAGGCGCUGAUCCUGGUCCAUCAUGAGGAACUUCGAGAUCACGUUACUGCGGAGGCUCGUGUGGUCUUGGAUCUCAUGGAGAGUGAUAGUAGCCGACGAUCUCCAACCAUCGGGAGCCUUCAUUGUGGCGGCCUUGAAGAUGACGUUGCCACGGCGGCCCAUACGAUUUUGGACUUUAUGGAGAGCAACGGUAGCCGGCGACCUCCCACCGAUAGGAGCCAUCCGCUUCCUCAGCAAGUCGUUCUCGAAGACGCAGCGGCUGGAACUUCGCGCCCUCCCAUGGAUCGGAGUCAUUUUCUCCCUCGUCAAGUUGAAGCGGAGAUGUCAAUGAAGGCAAUAGAAGAAGAAUACCUUCGCAUCAUGAGCGAGUUGGAGCGGAACGGGAAGGCGCCCAAGAAGAAGAACAAUUAGUUUUUUUGUAUUUUUUGUUCUAAGGGCGACUAAUGUUUUGUCGGCCAUGUAACCCGUCGUCCGUACCGAAUGAAUGCAAUCGGCCGAUCCGGUCGACUAUGUGUUUGAACCGAUUUGCAUUGGCUAUGCGUCUGAACCAAUUCGUAUCGGCUAAGUGUUUGAACCGAUUUGUACCGGUUAUGUGUGGUCGUGUUAUGGUCAAUUUCCUACGCUCCGACCCAUAUACUGGGGUAGUAUCUUUUUAAGUACCUUCCGUUCAGAGCUCUAGUAAAUUCCUCUCCUUCUAUUGUUUCCAAAAUGUAAGCAUUUCCUGGGGCGCAUCUGCCGAUUUUGUACGGCCCUUCCCAUGUAGGGGACCAUUUUCCGAAUUUAGGAUCCUUCGACCCAAUCGGCAAUACUAACUUCCAUACUAAGUCCCCAGGGGAGAAUUGUUUGGUUUUGACCUUUUUAUCGUACCACCUGGCUACCCUCUUUUUAUUUUCUUCAAUGCUUAUCAGAGCCCUCAAUCGUUGGCCAGCCAAAUCGUCAAGUUCCCUCUUCAUAAGUGACGAGUAAUCAUCGGCCGUUAACUGAUCCUGGAGCGAAAUACGCCUCGAUCCCGCCCUUGACUCCCAUGGGAGUACCGCAUCGUGACCGUACACCAAUUGGUAGGGAGAUAACUUGGUAGCCCCAUGACAAGCCAUCCGGUACACCCAUAAGGCCUCUGUCAAACAUAGAUGCCACUUCUUCGGUUGUUCCUCGACUUUUCUUUUGAUCAAUUUGAUUAUCCCUUUAUUGGAGGAUUCCGCCUGACCAUUGGCUUGGGCGUAGUAUGGAGAAGAGUUUAACAAUUUGAUUCCCAUAUCGGUCGUAAAUUCCUCAAAUUCCCCCGAUGUGAACAUUGUUCCUUGAUCGGUUGUUAUAGUCUGAGGGAUACCGAAUCGGUAAACGAUGUGGUCCCUUACGAAGUCGGCCAUGAUAGCCGAUGUCACGGCCCUUAACGGGAUAGCCUCUACCCAUUUGGUAAAGUAAUCAGUAGCCACCAGAAUAAAUUUGUGCCCUUUGCUUGAUGGUGGGUAAAUUUGGCCGAUAAGGUCUAUUCCCCAUCCCCUGAAUGGCCAUGGCUUAAUAAUGGGAUUCAUGGCCGAUGCGGGUGCACGCUGGACAUUUCCAAACUUUUGACACUCCUGACAGCCCUUAUAAUAUUUGAAACAGUCUUCGAGGAUCGUUGGCCAGUAGUACCCAUUACUCCUGAUCAUCCACUUCAUCUUAUGUGCCGAUUGGUGUGCUCCACACACCCCUUCAUGGAUUUCUCCCAUUAGAGUCUUGGCCUCUUCUGUCCCAAGGCAUUAGAGAAGGACUCCGUCGAUCGUUCGGUAGAAUAGGUCAUCUUCGAGCAGUACGUAUUUGGUGGCAUGAAAACGUACUCGUCGCUCCACCUUUUUAGACGGAUCCUUCAGGUAGUCGGCAAUUUCUUUACGCCAGUCAUCGGCCGUGAGUUCUAGAGCCAUAGUGCCUAGAAUUGGCCGAUACCCAGAUGCGUGCUGGGCGAGUUUGUUGGCGUCUUCGUUGCGGUCUCUUGGGAUGUGCUCGAUUACUGCCGAUCGGAAUUCUUUCAAGAACUGUAAGCAAUCUUCGUAAUAAAUUCUUAACACAUCAUCUUUGCAUUCAGACCUUCCGGUCAGUUGAUCCACAAUAAGCAUAGAGUCUCCGAAGACUUCAACGGAAUCGGCCUUGACUUCCCUUAAUAGUUGUAGGCCUUUUAAUACAGCUCGGUACUCCGCUUGAUUGUUAGUAGCGGCGGUUUCUAUCGGCAGAGAAAAAUCAUAGCUUGCCCCCCGAGGCGAUAUGAGAACGAUGCCGAUUCCUGAUCCGACCCCACAUGAUGACCCAUCGAAAAAUAAUGUCCAAGGUGCCGGCUCUACAAGGGCAAUCUCCGGUCCGCAGUGCUGGGCGACGAAAUCGACCAUGACUUGACCCUUGACGGCUUUUGCCGAUUCAUGCCGCAGGUCAAAUUCUGAUAAAGCUAAGAUCCACUUGCCGAUUCGACCUUUCAAGAUCGGCAGUGAUAGCAUGUAUUUUACUACGUCGUCUUUGCAUACGACCACGCAUUCUGCCGACAGUAGAUAGUGCCUUAGUUUGGUGCAUGAGAAGUAAAGACAUAGGCACAAACGCUCCACCGGAGGAUAUCUUGUUUCAGCAUCCAGAAGUCUUCUACUAACAUAAUAAAUUACCCGCUCCUUGCCUUCAAACUCCUGGACUAGAGCCGACCCAAUAGCUUAUUCGUCGGCUGAUAAGUAUAGUUUAAACGGCUUACCAGUUUGAGGAGGAACUAACACUGGCGGUGAGACCAAAUACUGCUUGAUAUCUUCCAGUGCUUUGCGCUGCUCCUCUCCCCAUAUAAAUUCCUGGUCAGGUUUUAGCUUCAACAGAGGUAUGAACGCCUGAAUCUGUCCAGAUAGAUUAGAUAUGAAUCUUCUGAUGAAAUUCACCUAGCCGAUUAGAGACUGCAGUUCGGUUUUGUUCUGUGGGGCUACGACUUUGUUGAUGGCCGCUAUGGUCUUCCGAUUGAUUUCGAUCCCCCGUUCAUGCACCAUGAAUCCUAAGAACUGUCCGGCGGAUACGCCGAAAGCACAUUUAUUGGGGUUCAUCUUAAGCCCAUGCUUCUUGGUGCACUCUAGCACUUUUCGCAAAUCAGCCAAAUGUUCUUCGUGACCUUUGGACUUGACCACGACAUCAUCGAUGUAGAUCUCUACCAGAAUGCCAAUGAGUUUGUGAAAUAUGUAAUUCAUGGCUCUCUGAUAUGUAGCGCCAGCGUUCUUCAAGCUAAAAGUCAUUACCACCCACUCGAACAAACCGAGGUGGCCUGGACAUCUGAAGGCCGUUUUGGGUAUAUCUUCUUCGGCCAUAAGUAUUUGAUUGUAUCCAGCGUUUCCGUCCAUGAAGCUAAUGAUUUUAUGCCCCGCGGCAGCGUCGAUCAGUACGUCGGCCGUUGGCAUGGGGUAACCAUCCAUUGGUGUGGCCUGAUUAAGAUUCCUGAAAUCAACGCAAACGCGUAGCUUUCCAUUUUUCUUGUAUACUGGUACGAUGUUAGAAAUCCACUCGGCAUAACGACAUUGCCGAAUAAAUUUUGCUUCGAUUAGCCGAGUUAUUUCAGCUUUUAUGUCUGGUAGAAUUUUAGGAUGCAGCGUCGUGCGGGUUGUUGGUACGGCCGAUACCCUGGUUUUAUGGGUAGCCGAUGUUCAACAAUGGAUCGGUCUAAACCGGGCAUCUCGUGAUACUCCCAAGCAAAACAAUCCUUAAAUUCCUUUAACAAAUUUGUCAAUUUACACUUGUAUUCCGGAUCUAAAUUUGCACUAAUAUAAGUCGGCCUUGGUUUAGUGCCAUCGCCUAAGUCUAUCAUCUCCAAUGAGUCGGCCGACGUGAACCCGUGCCCUAGCUUCCCAUCUUCUCGGGCGAACUGAUCCAUCUACUCUGAGUCUUCGGAGCCGACUGCUCGGAUCGGCUGUAGGCCAAAAUCGGUGACCUUUAGGAAAUCGGUCUCCCAUACUCUGCCAGAUAUGCACCUGACGGUCUCGCAGCUCCACUGCUGCGUGUCGGCUGCCGCGAUGCUGUACGCGGAAUCGGCGUUGACCACCUCGAUGUUAUCGCCGACCCAUUGCACGAGGCAUUGAUGCAUUGUUGACGGGAUGCAGCAGUUUGCGUGUAUCCAGUCCCGGCCAAGUAGCAUGUUGUAGGACCCCUUGCCAUUAAUAAUAAAGAAGGUGGUAGGAAGGGUCUUACUGCCGAUGGUGAGGUCAACGCAGAGAGCACCGCGAGCGUUUGACACCUUGCCCUCGAAGUCCUUGAGCAUCAUGUCUGUCUUGGUCAAGUCUUCGUCGCUUUUCCCAAGUUUCCGGAGUACGGCAUACGGCAUGAUGUUGACUGCAGCUCCUCCAUCUACCAUCAAUCUAGUGAGGGGGCGGCCGUCAACAUGCCCUUUAAGGAACAGCGCCUUCAUGUGUUGUCGUUCGUCAUCUUCGGGCUUUUCGAACGUGGCCAUCAUUGGCUCCAAAGCCAACUGUGCGGUCUGUUCUUCUAUUGCCGAUACAUCCUGUUGAUCGUCGGGAGCCAUGAAUUCCAUCGGCAAAAUGAAAACCAUGCCGAUCUCGGCUGCCGAUUCGUCACCCGCCGAUUCGUCGUCCCCUUUAUCGUUUCUUUUGGGGCGCCACACCCGAGGCUUUCCUUCCUUCUUGUCCGUUGCGCUUUCUUCUUCUUGCUGUUCCCAUUGGCAGAGACAUUGGAUUCUUCGUUUUUGGGACUUGGUCAAUCCAUCGGGACACCACCUGGGGUUUAUUGGUCUUCCCCCCGACCUGGCGCGUUCCCACUCCGGUUCGCGUCCUAACGGGUUUUCAUCUGUCACUCGAGCAUCGGCCAUCUCUUUGAGCCGGCUGUGAAUGCUGGCCCUGUUUUCUGACCGGUCAUGCCGAUCAGUCCUGCCCCCCUGCCUAUCAUGGCGUCUAUCUUCUGACCGAUCAUAUCGGUCACUUCUGCCCCCCAGCCGAUCACGCACGGGAGGGCGCUGGUCAUCUUGGUUGCGCCAAUUCCUGCUGAUCGGUUCUGGCCUUCCGUCUCUGGAGCGAGACCUAUUGAACGACCGAUUGCCACGAUAUGGACCUGUUGUCGCAAAAUCCUGAAGGUGGUGGACCCUGCAUCACCACAUGAGGACCUGGGAGAUCUGUUUAACUCCAGUGCAGAAUCCAAAUCGGCGUGCAUGGUGUGCGUGGGCGUGCCAGUCAGUUUGACCAUUCAACUGACAAGGUGGAGAUAAUUCUCUCGAACUUCGAUGGAGUCGGCCGAUCGGGCCGAUUUAAUAUAAUUUACAAUAACCAUCAGCCAUACGGCCGAUAGGAAACACGAUGUUGUUGAGUUGUUGCUCCACCAUAGCUAGAGCCACAAGCCGAUGAGAUCUAAACUAACAUCACCACCAAUAUUUUUAGGUGAAACCACAGCGAUGCGCCCGGUAGUUGCAGUCUAGAAAUAUUUAGCAGGACGUUAAUCUGAACCCCGCCAGCUGAUAAAUCCAAUCACAAUGGAACUUACUCCCAACAGCACUCGAAGGGGUAACCAAGAUUAAGAUGCAACAGGCUAUUAAAUGAUCUAUCGUCUGUGAUGAACCGAUCUAAAGCUAAUUAAAGCAAACUGAACGGCAAGACGAAAGAACAGAUAAAUAUCAGCCGAUGCAAGCUUAAUCAAGGCGGGAUAACUGGUGAAUACCGUAGAUCGAGACAGAAGCGAUGCGCCGUAAGUCAAAGAUCCAAGAUACUCGAUAACUGGUAGAUGAAACUAGACGAAACCACAGCGAUGCGCCCGGUGGUUAAAGCCUAGAACACCUGGUGACGGAACUUGCAGCUCGCCGGAGAUCGAGGUCGACGCAGCCCAGCUUGCUAGAAGGAACUCGUCGAGAAUCUACAUUACUCCUACUCCUAGGGCAAUGGCGUGAAGCCGAAAGGUAAAGGUAAAUAUGUUGUAUUAUUGAUCGUGUGAUUAUUCUUUACAAUGGCCACGUCCCUUUAUAUUUAUAGGGCGGACGUUGGCAUCUAGCCACGCACAAGGCAAGUCACGUACACAAUCUUUUCUAAUAAAAAACUCUAUCUCUAACUAACCCAACUCUAUCUCUAAAAUAUUUUAUUCUAUAAAACAACCUCCCGUACAUGCACAGAUCGGCCGCAUGCAUAAUUAUUCUGGAAGCCUCCCACGCUUGGCAUGCAAAGUGCACCAGAAUCCAUGUUGUAUAUUCUAAUCAUUUUUAUCCAUACGUGCUGGCCUUUCCUUUAUAUCAUCCUUGCCUCUCCUUGCCGAUUAAUCCAAUGAAGCCGAUUUGGACUCCGUGCCCAUAUGCACGCAUGCUAGCUUCUUAUUGUUGUAUGUGACUCCAAUUAUCUUGUACUCCGAAUUUAUAGGAUUGGUCAAAAUCCAGUGUCAACAGGACCGUUGCAUUCUGGGCAAGUAUCGGCUGAAGGUAGCCUGAGGUUGUUUUCCCAACAAUGAAUGAAGAACGGGCAUCUCCAGUGCUCCUCGUGUCGACGCAUUGCCUCUUCCCGGGACCUUGAGCGUUCAUGCUGACGUUGGUACUUCUGGAGCAGGAACUGGGAAGUAAUGCGUGGCCCUUCUGAUUCGCCAUCGUCGUCCUCCAUCCGCCGCUUCCCCUUGACAUCUUCAGGCGUAGUUUGAUUUCUGGGGUCGACGGCGCCACUCUUUUUGGCCGAUUCGGAUGUCAGCACUUUUGUUUGGAGUGAAUUCUUCCCCGUAUCAACCAUGUUGGUGGGGAAGGGGUGUUGGUCAAUCUUCAUUGGUUUGGCCGAUUUUGCCGGCACCUCAAAUUUAAGUCUCCCUUGCUCAAUGGCCGACUGUAUCUGCUGCCUGAAGAUCUUGCACUCAUUGGUAUCAUGGGAUGUGGCAUUGUGCCACUUGCAAUACUUCAUCUUUUUUAGUUGCUCGGCAGAAGGUAUUGUAUGGUAUGGCGAGAGUUUAAUCUGCCCUUCCUGGAGGAGAAGAUCAAAGAUUUUAUCGGCCUUAGUUGUGUCAAAACCGAACGCUUCCGGCUCCUUUUUGCCGAAUGGGCAUGAUAUCGGCUUCUUCCCCUUGAUCCAUUCUGCAAGUUCGACUUCAACAUCUUCCUCAUCCUCUAACUCUUCCAGGAACGCCACUUUCUUCUGGAAAUUCCUCCGCGGAUCGAAAGGACGAACCUCUUGUCCAGACAAUCGGUGAACAAUCUGGCUCAGACUCUCGAACUCUUGUGAAGUGUAUCUUUCUUUGAUGUAGGGCAGAAGGCCUUGAAAAGCUAUAUCGGCCAACUGCGCAUCGGUCAGAGCCAGGGAGUAGCACUUGUUUCUGAUUUCCCGAAACCUCUGUAUAUACGAGGAUAUCGGCUCAUCACUCCUUUGCCUGAGGCUGGUCAAAUCAGACAACUUCAUCUCAUGCACCCCGGCGUAGAAGUAUUUGUGAAACUGUCUUUCUAAAUCGGCCCAUGUGAUAAUCGAGUUUGGCGGCAAUGUCGUGAACCAUUGAAAGGCCGAACCAGACAGAGAUGAAGAGAACAACCGUACCCGUAGAGCAUCCUGCGUAGCUGCCUCCCCGCAUUGGAUGAUGAACCUGUUCACGUGUUCCACAGUCGAAGUGUCAUCCAUCCCCGAAAAUUUGGUGAAGUCAGGAACUUUAUAUCGAUGGGGAAAUGGCAAUAGGUCAUAUGUAGACGGGUAUGGUGUUCUGUAGGUAUAAGUUUGCACUUUCGGCUUUAAGCCGAAUUGUUCUUGCAUCACCUCCGCAAUACGUGCCGACCAAUCUGGCUGUUGCUGGUGAACUGUUGGCUGAGGUAUCGGCACGUGCUGGUAAAUCGGAGGCUGAAUAAACGGAGGCUGAUUGAAAGGUGGUAUGUGAGUGUAAGUCGGCUGUGUAGUAAAGGCUGGCUGUUUGAAUGAGCCACUUGUUUCAUCAUACAGCAUGAUCUCUGCUGUCUUGUUGACCUCCGGAGCGACAGGCUGGUAUGGCGGCACGGUUGGCCGAAUGGUAGCCUGGAAGGAUGUCUGGAAUGGAGGGUUCACUUGACUGGCCGAUUGAUUCUGACCGGCCGUGAUUGAAGGUGUCCCCCAGGGUGAUGGGUUAAUUGGGCUAACUGGAGGGAAUGGCGCAGAGGACAGUUGUAUGGAGCCAUAUCCCAUUGGAAUUGAUGAUGAGGAAGCACCUGAACUCCCGAAAGAAAAUUGGAUCGGCUGCGAAGCCGAAUUCGAAUAAUUCUGGUUUGGUGGAAUCGGCUGAAAAUAUGCCGGUCCCCUGUAUCCCUGAGGUAUCCCCCCGGCGAAGGAGUUGACAACAGCAUUAUGCACCAUAUUUGAAAGUACCGGGGACUGAUCAAUGAAGGCGUGAUAAAUAGACUGUUGAAUCAUAUCGGACAUUUUGUCCGAAUCCUCAGAAAUUGUGAUCUGGCGGGGAGGAGGGAACGGAAUCUUCUUGAUAGUCUCCCCGCUUCUGGAGCAACUGAAAGACUUUAGGCAAGUUUUCCGGAACUGUGCCGUAUACUUGUCCAGUUCUUCCUUCUGGUCGUCCUUCAGAUCUGCUUCCGUCACCUCGAUGACGUUCUCUUCGGAGACUUCAGCAGCUUUCGACAUGAUGGCGGUUGUAUUGGUCCCACCAGGCGUGCCAAAAGUGUGUUGGCGCUAGAAAUCGGUCGACCGAAUCCCAGCGACCGACACACGACCCGGGAGAAUCUGCUUAGCUCCUGUUCGGGUGAAUGCCCUGGUGCAGUUCGCGCGGCGUGCCAGCCAAUCUGACCUGUUGAUUGGCAAGGAAGAAUACGUAUCAAGUCCAGAAAUCGCGAUCGGCUAAGUUUCCGAUCUCGAGAGAGUUUAUCAGCGAAUCGGCCGAUUUACUGUAGUAAUGAAAUCGGCUAUAAGACAGCCUGAUCUCUGUAGCCUUGUAGACAGGGAAUUACUAAAGUAAUCGAUACAAAGCUAUGAUAACAACACUAGGAACAGAUCUAAUCGGCAAUAGAUGAAUUUAAUAGCAGAAUAUAGAAAGAGCCGAAACUACCGAUUCCUAGCUGGAUAACUGGUGAUAAAGACUAGAAAAACAGGUAAAACCUAUGGAUCUAGCAAAUAUCGAUAACUAAUGAAUAAAUCUAAACGAAACAACAGCGAUACGCCCGAAGUUAAAGCUUAGAUAUUACUCGAUAAUCGGAACUUACAGAAUCGGCCGGAGAUCAAGAUGAUGCAGCCCUGCCAACCCGCACGAACUCGUGAGAAGAGAAAAGUAAUGGCGAAGUCGCCUGCUUGAAGGUAAGUACGAAGAAAAAGUAGCUUGUUGUAUUGAUUGGUUGAUGACUACAGAUUUACAAAAGCAGCUAUUUAUAGCCCCGUACAGAUAUCUUCUUAACCGACUAGAAUUCUAUCCCUAAUUCAAACAGAAAACGAAUAUCUACAAACAUGAUUCGUGCUAGGUUGGUUACUCCACGCUUCGUGGGCUGAUUUCCACCUCAUCCUUCUAUCCCUUUCUAAGCCCAUACAGGCCCAAUUAGCCCAUCCUCCUAAUCGGCCGAUUCCUCAUCGGCAAAAGAUUACCGAUUGGGACUCUAGUAUAUUCGACCCGAAGCGAGAUAGAAGUCACCGGCCGAUCUCACACUGUAGCACCAUUUGGCCGAUUCCCAACUGUGCUUCUCCGAUUCCCCCUCUUCUUGGCGCCGAUUCUACUAGUGGCAAAAUCUGGCGUCAACAGGUACCUACUUUUUGUCCUAAUAAUUAUGGCGUUCUAUCAUUUACCUUCGGCUUUGACCUCGGAUUGCCCUCAUGCUUACAUAUUUCCUAUUUAUGACUUCUAGGAGAAUGAGGCAAACAAACAUUUCCGUGGCAAGGCGUUUCCAUUCUAUGAUGAGUUAACCACUCUUUUCGGGACAACGGACACUGAAGGUGGUCCAAUGUUGUGUGUUGGUGGAAUUGGAGAUAGAACACCAAGCUGUGGAAGUGAAGACAACCCUGACCCAAUGGCGGAUGAAAAUGUUGACUGGUUGGAGGACACUGUUGGACGGUCUAGUGUGGGUCGUGUGUCGCAAAGGUCAGGAAAGGAGCAUGUUGUUGAUAGCCCACCACCCAAGAGAACUAAGAGCAUGGAGUACUAUGUCGAGCGUAUAUCUGAGAGCAUGAUUCAAAGGACUAUGACCGAAAGAAAUCUAAUCAGCCGUGAGGAAGAGGAGGUUACGGAAAUGUUGCAACUUGUAGAACAAGAUGGUGUACCGAAUGGGUCCGAGUUGUACUUCAUAGCUACUGAGCUGUUUAGAUCGCCAGCCUGACGUGCAUCUUAUAGGAGCAUUAUCGCUUCAGAGAACCGGAUUGCAUGGCUCCGAUGGACUUGGGAUAAUGUCAAGAGGAAGUAAUACCGGUCCAUGAUUACAAUGUAUUUGCAUCAACCUAGGAAUGUGUGUAUGUGUACUGUGACUAUGGCAUGGUGUGGCAUCAUGUCUAUAAUGUGAAUUAUGUUGUGGUAGACCUUGAUUAUUCAAGCUACUAAUCCAUAUAAAUUUGUGUCGUUCCACUUGAGUAUGAUGCUGCUACUGUUGUUUUUAACAUUUUGGAAAUUAUUGUUUACAACCUUACAGCCUGAAGGUCUUCAUGAUGAAUGAGGUGGCUAUCAACAAGUGAAGCUCAAAUGGAUCGUAAAGGUAUGCAAUGAAAUCAUAUUUCCAUAUUUAAGUACCUAGGAUUUUUGAAAGAAAAGAAAAGGGGCGCAACAUGUUAAGAGAUGGGUACUGAAUAUGCUAUUCUUCUGUUUUAGAGAUUCUUAGACAAGAAAAGACGGCAUGCUUUUUAUAUGUCGUCUUGAAACUAGCAUAUCUAGGCUUAACAAAGAAUCGGAUUUGUUCCAGAUCACUGAUUAAAGAAGCUGGGACCAUUGAUCGCUGUUAUGGUCAGAAAAUGAAAGGAAAGUCAAGCUCCGAAAAUUCGAGCAACAGCAGCACCUCACCAGCGAGGUUGACCGAUGAGUGGUCUACAUGGUGGGACAUGGGUGCAACCAUUGGUGUGUUAGCUGCGUAUGCAUCGUCUACCUCAAGUGCAUGUGGCGUGCAAGAUGGUCCGUUGCACUUGCAGGAGUUGACUGGGCGUCAAUGGGUUGCUAUUAACCUUGCUGACAGUAAGAAGUGCUACAAAAAUUUCCGUCUCCAUCCAUCUGCAUUUCAGUUGUUGCAUUCAAUCUUAGUGUCCAACCAUGGGCUAAAAUCCACACAACAAUGUGAUUCAGUUGAGGCAUUAGGGAUGUUCCUAUGGGCAUGUGGCACAAGACAAUGCCAGAGACAAAUGUCGGAUAGAUUCCGUAGGUCACUGGACACCGUGAGUCGGAAGUUCGGUGAAGUGUUAGAUGCCGUGAUCUCUUUUGCACGUACUAUUAUUAGGCCAAUGGAUCCACUGUUCAGGUGUGUGCAUCCUAGGCUGCAUCAAUUCUCACCAUAUUUUGAUGGGUGCAUAGGAGCUAUAGAUGGAACCCACAUUCCGGUGUCAGUCCCUGAGCACGCACAUGAUGAUUUUAUCAAUAGAAAGGGGUUCACCAGCCAGAAUGUCUUGGCCAUUUGUGACAUGGGCAUGAGGUUCACAUUUGUCGCUACGGGGAAGAAGGGUGCUAUGCAUGACACUGCUAUUUUGAGGGAGGCUUUAAACCAAGCUGAGCAUUUCCCUCACCCACCCCAAGGUGAUCUUAUGUUGUUCGUAAGUUUUAUAGUAUGCAACAUAUGGGAGUGCCAAUCUAAAUUGCUAUUUGUAUAACAAUGUUGAUAUGUAGGAAAGUACUAUUUGGUGGAUUCUGGUUACCCACUGCGUGAGGGUUAUAUGGCGCCAUAUCGCAAGGGCAGGUACCAUUUAUCGGAGUUUAAUGUCAAAGGUCCUGAGAAUUUGAAUGAAAUUUUUAACUACCAUCAUUCGUGCCUUCGGAAUGUUGUGGAACGAUCUUUUGGAGUGCUAAAGAAUAAGUGGCAGAUUCUAAGAGGUAUACCGUUAUAUAAUAUGGAGAAGCAAUCAAAGAUUAUUGUUGCAUGUUUUGCGCUACACAAUUUUGCAUUGGACAACAAUGAACCGGGAAUGGUUGGUGCUGACAUGUUUGCUCAUGGGACCUACCUUAGUAGGACAAGUGAUGAAAAUGAUCCUGCAUCAGAUUGGUUUGCCGCUACUGCCAACGAUGAUAUUAGUAAAGUUCGUGAUUGGAUUGCAGUAGGACUUUAUGGGUUGACAUAACGGAGAUAUUUUCUCCAUUUGCUAAUUUGUUGUUAUGAAUAUAACCUAUCAAUUUCUUUCUAAUUUGUUGUUGGUGUGACUUGAGAAAGCACUGAUCAACUAUUGUAGGGCUGAAAUGUUCUAAUUGUAUGCCCUGUGUACUCUUGAGUUCAAUAUGCAUGUCAUUUAUUUUGUGCUAGACUAGACUGUUAUCAGGGUGCCCAGGUCCUGGAAACUAAAAUGAGGUGUUUGAGAGUUAUGGAUAGCGCUUCUGGUGAUUUGGUUCAUAUCACUGUCUGCAUAUGUUUGGUUAUGCUUGUAUCAUAUAUUUAGUCAAUAUCUUGGGCCUAUUUCUCUGUUUGUCUGCUUGCUUAUGCUCUAGAAAUUACUUUUUUUUUUUGUGUGUGUGUGGGGGGGGGGGAGGGGGGAGAUGUAGUUUUCAUUACAUUUGCUCCGUGCAUUUUAAGGGGUGUCUCAAGAAUGCAGCAAAGGUAACUCCCUGUGGUUUAUAGCAAGCUUGUUUCACCUCUGUAUGGAAUGUCACUGUCACUCGCUGUAGUGAAUAGCGAGCUCGAGAUCUGCCGCUGCCCUGAAGCACGCCGUGCUGCGAAAACUUGUAUCUCUGCUAAUGUCUAACUGAUUUCGACAUUUUAUUUUCUUUCCUCGUUCUAAAUACUGAAGAAGUGUUUGCUGUGGUCCAAUAUUCAUUUGUUUGUUAUGGAGAUAUUACAUACACAAUACCACUGUCCACUGACUAGAUGUUCCUGUUCUGCCAUUUACUAUUUUUAGUCAAGCAUGUUUAGUACUGUCAAGGUUAGCAAUGUGUCCCUGAAAGCAGUACAGCGUGAUAUAAAGGAAUUCUUUUCUUUUUCUGGUGACAUUGUGCAUGUUGAAAUGCAGAGGUUAGUACCAUGUCCAUGAUGCCUAUUUUCACGCUGUGCUAUGAGUUGCACUAACCAUUUAGUGCUAUGCAGUGGCGAUGAGCUGUCUCAAGUUGCCUACAUUACUUUUAAAGACAAUGAAGGAGCUGAGACGGCAAUGCUUGUUACGGUAUUUCUUUUUUCUAAAGGAGCUGAAAAAAAUGUGUCUUUUAGAUGAAUUAAUGAUUCACUGGUCACAUUAUCAUGAAAUAUGGUAUGCAUUUAUGAUCUUAUUUUAAUAGGUUAGUCAUCUGAAUAUUAUCAAUGUGGUUCUGUACUGUAAUUUGUUGCAAUUAUAUUCUGAAGCCCCAAUCAAAAAAUAUUUGUACUUGCUCUUUCAAUGAUUGUUUAAAGUGACCUUUGUUUGCUCAUUGAAUUUUGCCUUUUAUAUAAUCCAGUUCCAACUGACUUUGCAACAUUGUUUGUACCGUGACCUCUAGCUCUAGCUUGAAAACCAAGAUGUCUUGGGAUGGCAAUGAAAAAAAUAGUUUACAAAUAUAUACCACUUAAAUUGUAGCAUAUUCUAAUGUGAACUUUUAUUGCUGUUGCAGGGGGCCACGAUAGUUGAUAUGGCUGUCAUUGUCACGCCUGCCACUGAUUAUGAGCUACCAGCUUAUGUUUUAGCUGAUCUAGAGGUAUAACUGGAGCCAUUACUAUUUACUGCACAUGCAUGAUAUAGUUGCUGUGCAGGUUCAUAACAUUGCUUUUCACCCCCAGCCCAAAGACACAAAACCUUCUGCCCUCCAAAAGGCCGAGGACAUUGUUGGGACCAUGCUGGCGAAAGGAUUUAUCCUUGGUAGGGAUGCACUGGACAAAGCAAAAGCUCUGGAUGAGAAGCAUCAGCUUACAUCAACUGCUACUGCUAGAGUAUCUUCCUUCGACAAGAGAAUUGGUCUAAGUCAGAAGAUCAGUGUUGGUACUUCAGCUGUCAAUGAUAAAGUGAAGGAAAUGAGAAGUACCAAGUCUCUGAGAAGACAAAGUCAGCACUGGCAGCUGCUGAACAGAGCGUCUCGACUGCUGGAUCCGCCAUCAUGAAGAACAGAUAUGUCCUCACCGGGGCAGCAUGGGUAACUGGUGCCUUCAGCAAGGUGACCAGUGCAGCCAACGAUGUUGGUGCAAAGGCUAAGGAGAAAAUAGCAGCUGAGCAGGAGCACAAGAAUGUUGAGGGUGGGUCUGCAGCACAACCAGACAUCCCAGAAGGCCCAACAACACACAGGGAAGUGGACGGUGAAUUUGCAAAGAUACAUGUGUCUGAAACCCCUGAAGAUAUCCCCAUCUCCACUGUGGCGACUGUCCCUGCUGUUAUCAAUGAGGAGCCCAGCAAGGCGUCUCCACCCGCUGAUGCUCCUAAAAAGCCGGAACCUGCUCACGGAUUGAUACUAUGAAAUGAUUCGGGGCCCCAUACAUGUGUGUAAAUAGACAUGAUAUGGUUAUUGAACUCAUUUUUAGUGUUGUGGUUGAAACCUCUUUGAAGGUUGAAAGUUAUUGGGACCUAAAAGAGUUCGCAAUUUGUUACUUGACACUUUUAUCAAUAUAUCAUUAUCAUCCUGCAGUGGGAACAUGAAACAUAGUGGUUGUGUUGUUAUGCAUGACUCUGUUUUCUGAUACACUUGUUUUCUGUUUGCGAGAAUGUACUUGCUAAUCAUGAGAAUGUGGUGCUUUCACGGAGGUUGUAUAACGUGCUUCGACGUUCUUCACGGCAGUGUUCGUAUUCAAGAUCAAAAUACAAAAUUGGACUUGGACUGAAGGGAAAAAACUGAAAGACAAAUAUAAGAAAAAAUUUUAUUGGUGCGUCACUUGUUCAGUUCUUCACAGGAUCAGAGUUUCUGGCUCCCGGCCUUGUUUCCAAAACUCGACUUGAUCGCUGGGUACAAAAGUAGCUGCCUGCAGCCGCUGCUGCCUAGCUGAUGCGCCACUGCCUAGCUGAUGCGCUGCUGUAGCAGCUGCAUGGCCGGCUGAUCAGCUGUGCUGCUUAACAGCAACAGCCAGCUCAACCGAACGGCCCCAUUUACCUUUACCUUUCGGCUCCACGCCAUUGCCCUAGGAGUAGGAGUAAUGUAAUUUCUCGACGAGUUCCUUCUAGCAAGCUGGGCUGCAUCGACCUCGAUCUCCGACGAGCUGCAAGUUCCGUCACCAGGUGUUCUAGGCUUUAACCACCGGGCGCAUCGCUGUGGUUUCUUCUAGUUUCAUCUACCAGUUAUCGAGUAUCUUGAAUCUUUGACUUACGGCGCAUCGCUUCUGUCUCGAUCUACGGUAUUCACCAGUUAUCCCACCUUGAUUAAGCUUGCAUCG
rnacentral:lncRNA from 1 species